rnacentral:rRNA from 1 species
AGCGAACGCUGGCGGCAGGCCUAAUACAUGCAAGUCGAGCGCACCUUCGGGUGAGCGGCGGACGGGUGAGUAACGCGUGGGAACGUGCCCUUUGGUACGGGAUAACUGAGGGAAACUUCAGCUAAUACCGUAUGUGCCCUACGGGGGAAAGAUUUAUCGCCAUUGGAGCGGCCCGCGUUGGAUUAGGUAGUUGGUGGGGUAAAGGCCCACCAAGCCGACGAUCCAUAGCUGGUCUGAGAGGAUGAUCAGCCACACUGGGACUGAGACACGGCCCAGACUCCUACGGGAGGCAGCAGUAGGGAAUCUUGCGCAAUGGGCGAAAGCCUGACGCAGCCAUGCCGCGUGAAUGAUGAAGGUCUUAGGAUUGUAAAAUUCUUUCACCGGGGAAGAUAAUGACGGUACCCGGAGAAGAAGCCCCGGCUAACUUCGUGCCAGCAGCCGCGGUAAUACGAAGGGGGCUAGCGUUGCUCGGAAUUACUGGGCGUAAAGGGCGCGUAGGCGGAUGUUUAAGUCGGGGGUGAAAGCCCGGGGCUCAACCUCGGAAUUGCCUUCGAUACUGGACAUCUUGAGUACGGGAGAGGUGAGUGGAACUCCGAGUGUAGAGGUGAAAUUCGUAGAUAUUCGGAAGAACACCAGUGGCGAAGGCGACUCACUGGCCCGUUACUGAC